GGAAGAGACCAUAGACUCAACAGGAGGGGGAGUCCUGGGUAGCGCGCCGGUCUAAAUCGUUACUUGGCGGAAAGUUCCCAUGAGUCUUUGCCAGCGUCCCCCUCCUUUUGUGAGGAUUGGGAUAUUCCGACUCCUUAAGGGCCUGGCGCACAUAAGGGCCACAUCUGCCAGAGCCUGGAGUCUGCGAAGGCCGGGACCCGGUUCCCCGGCCCACAGUGGGGGUGUGCAAACCCGAGAGAACUGGGUAAUGCCGUCAGAAGCGAUAACUGACGACGUCUAAUGUCUAUCUGACCGCAGUCGCUGAAACCUCUACAACUUAGUUGACCGUAACUGCCAGAGCCCUGCCCUGAAUUCCUGUCCUUACUCCCUCUUUAAGAUUGCGUACCCACUGCAGAGUGCUGAAGACGGGGUAGCCACGAGGUUGCAAAUUCGUGAAGAAUCAGCAUCAUGUUUGGCAGCUGAGUAUUGGAGCCAGGAGCCUGCCAUGAGGUUUUGAGAACAGAGUGCUGUUUUAGAGCUGGCAGCAGCAUCUCAGCCCAAGAGAAGGUUAUAUUCCCAGAGGAUGUCAGUCCCAAGGACCAGUAGCUGCCAUCAGUUUGGAUUCUGAAAACUAACUGGCAUCAACACUGGGUGUAGAAACAUGCUUGCCUUAUGUAUCAGAGGACAUGCUCAGCAGAUCCAAGAGAUAUAUUUGGCAACUUUUUCUAGAAAAGGCACAUUGGGUAUCAUUCAUUACAUUCUUGAGUUUUUUUGGGUUUUUUUUUUUUUUUUUGAGACAGUCUUGCUGUAUUGCCCAGGCUGGAGUGUGGUGGCACAAUCACAGCUCAUUGCAUCCUCAAUCACCCAGGCCUAAGCAAUCCUCCCACCUUGUAGCUGGGACUACAGCUCACAGCACACCUGGCUAAAAUUUUUUUUUUGUUGAGACGGAUUCUCUAUGUUGCCCAGGCUGGUCUCAGGCUCCUGGGCUCAGAUGGUCCUCCUGCCUCAGCUUCCAAAGGCACAGGCCAAGUUGUAGCUUUGUCCCUUGCCAUCAUGCCCAACAAGAGGUUCUAUACCUUUUAAUGAAUUGACUUUCAUAAAUUGGUUAUGUUGGUGGGCAAAGUUCUUUAAGCUGGAAAUUGUAAAUUCCUCCUGAAAUGUUUUUUCAUGCAGUUACCAUGAACUAAUACUACAAUAAAGGAUGGUCUUGGGUGUCAAUUCUUGAAAAUGUGUAUUUGAAGAAAAAGUAAAUUUCGCCUACUGUUGUCAGAUAUUAGCAGUCCAGAUAUUCGCUCUAGCUUGUAAACUUCCCUGUGGUCAGCCUAAGCUCUUAACCCCCUAUUCUACAGCUUUAGACUGAAGGCAAAAGCUCAAAGCAUUUAAGGCCUCCUCAAUUUCGGCCCCUGCUGCUCUGUGCUCUGUUCCUUGGUGUAGCUUUGUUCCAGCUCCUGCAGCAUUGCACCAUUCCUAACCACAACCUUAACAGCAUGUAGGGCCCCAUACUCUAGGCCCCAUCUUGCUGUCUUCCUGUGUUGGAAUCUUGCCUACCAAGGCCUGUCAAGAGGGUCCUCCCCCAUACUGUUUGCCCACAAGGUUCAAGAGUGAUUGGCUCCCAGUCUUCCUGGACUGAACUACUUGGAUCUAGGGGUUGCCUGUUAUUUAGAAGAGAUCCCUUAACUGGUAGGGCCCUUUCAGUAGGACAGUAUUUGGGUAAGGGGAGGGUAUAAGAUGAGAACCUUUGCUAAGUUAGGUUCCUUUGGGAGCCUCCAGUUUGUUUCUCCCUCUCCCCAGCCAUCUUGUUGGAUCUGCCAAGGGAUUGGACUCCUUCAUUGUCCUAGGUUUUUAAGGUUUUAAAGCCCACCUUCUGCAGUCGGUUUUCUGGAAUGUGUUGGUGGAUUACUUAAGAGUUAUGGGGAAAGAGUUCUUACGGCCUGUCUAGGUCAGUGAAGUCAUACUGGCAAGUGACAAGAAGGAAGCCAGGUUUGUCACUUACCCUGCAUGCUAAGGACAUCAGAGCCCACAUAGAAGUCUGGUAGUUUUUCAGCCAGCAGUGGGUAGGGAAGGUGGAUAGGGGAUUUCUGAACAGGACUUUAUGCCUGUAUGCAUGGGCACCAUGUCUGUCCUGAGCACUACCACAUGGCAUCGUAGGCUGCUCUGUCAAAGGAUAUAGCGAUAGCUGGUCCUAUGGGCAGAUGCCUAGAAUCAAGGUGGGCCUCAGAAAUAGGGCUGGGUCUCCAUAAGGAGGUAGGCCACGUUCAGUCCACCCCUAGCAUAGAUGGAACUGGGGUCUCGGGCAACCAGGAGUUACAGGAAUUUUGCUAAAGAUUCCCACCUUCCUUGAGUGGGGACACAUUCCUCUGGUUGGAGCUUGUUCCCCUAAAUGAAAAAUGUAAUGCAGUACAUGUAGGGGCCCUACUGUAUUCUUUUUCUGGGGGAAAGCUCUUGGUGUUCACAAUGGCUCAGGCUUACAGUACCUCCAGCCAUGUGCCCAUUUCCACAAGUCUUUGGGGAAGGCCAUGAGCUGAGCUGAGAGGGUUCUCUGGGGCCUGGGAUGACUUAAGAACCAAAUGGCAGAUAAUGGGAUAGGGGGCAGAUGCAGAGGACCAACGGGAAGUUUUAACACAAAUCCCCUUCCCCAGAUGAUAUGGUUUGCCUUUCUGUAGGUGGGUGGCCCAGGCCAAUUUUUGGCAAUAUCCUUAACCCACCUGAUAGGAGAAGCGCCCUCCCCUGCCUGCCUUGCCCAUUCUACCCAACAAGGACUCCCUGGUGAGGCCCUUCACUUCCAUGUCACGUCUGAGCUGCAGCUACAGUCUCCUUGCCCUCAUGGUGGUCUUCGGCAGGUGCCACAGGGCCCCCUCCAGGGUCCUCCUGGCCUACUGUCCCUUCCCGGACCUCCUCCCCACUGCCUGGGCCCUCACCCAGCUCCAGGAUGGUGGGUAGGUGGCCCUGCUUUGGGGAGCGCUUGCGCAGGCUGAGCAGGAAGGGCUGGGGCAAGGAGAAGAUGUCCACGUUGUUGCCCAGGUCAAUCCACGUGACAUUGGGGAACUUGCUGGGAUCCUUAAGGAUGUCAGUGAGGUCGCGCAGCACGGCCCGGGUCAACCGGUUGCCAUUGAGUGCCAGUGUGGUGAGGCGGGGCAGGGUGCUGAGUGCUGGCAGCAGCUGCAGGACCAUGUCGUCCGUGAGGCCUGUGAAGCCCAGCUCCACGCUGUCUACCUGCUCCCCACAGCGCUGUAGGUAGCUGGUCACCCGCUCCAGGUCUCGGGAGGUCAGUGGGAUUCCCGACAGGUCCACUGUGUUGUCUGGGGGGCUUCCGGCCAGGACAGCCUUGAGGCUGAAGGGAAAAAGGACAAACAAGGCUCAGGCACAUAGGGCAGGCCUUUCCCCCAGAAGCUGCAGUGCCAGCCUCUGCUCGGCUCUCCGACGCUAGGGACUGCUUUUACGAAACACUUGGAUGUCGGAUGCCACAAGUGCAGAGGUGGGAGCAACCAGGGACCUCAGUCCCCUGACACUGCCGCACGUCUCAGCUGUCAGGGCCCAGCUGGCCGUAGCCUGAGGUAUGUGGCUGCCCCUAUUUACCAGAAAAAUUGAGUUAAGAGUACCAUUGGGCUGAUAUAUGGAAGAAGUUCAUAAGUGCAAAAUGGUGCCUUGUAUAGUAGGCGAGUGAGGAAUAAACAUUUGCUGCUGUAUUCAUCACCUGGACUCAGCUUCCCACUUCUACCACCCUGGGGUGGCAGCUCAGCCCCCAUGAAUGGCACAAAGGAUCUCUGAGUCCCCUCUUUCAAGACCAUCUUCCCCACCAGAGAAGGAUUCCCUAUGGGGAGCCUGUAAGACAGCAGGCAGGGCAGGGCUCAGGGGCUCUGAGCCUGGUGGCAGCUGCUGACUCCUGGAGGCUGAGUGCCUUGCUCCUUGCUUCUGCUUGUUCUUGGGACAGAGCCCAGGCAGUUCAAGCUGAUGGCAAGUGUGCCCUUCCCUGCACACCCCCCACCCCACCCCCGCCAUCUGUUUGCUGGCUCCAAGGCCCAGGUGCAGUGGUGAGAUGUUCAUUUUCCACAUUUUUUUUUUUUUUUGGAGACAGUCUCGCUCUGUCACCCAGGCUGGAGUACAAUGGCACGAUCUUGGUUCACUGCACCCUCUGCCUCCCGGGCUCAAGUGAUUCUCCUGCCUCAGCUUCCUGAGUAGCUGGGAUUACAGGCGUCUGCCACCACGCCUGGCUAAUUUUUGUAUUUUUAGUAGAGACGGGGUUUCACCAUGUUGGCCAGACUGGUCUGGAACUCCUGACCUCAGGUAAUCCACCCAUCUCGGCCUCCCAAAGCAUUGGGAUUACAGGCAUGAGCCAACACGCCUGGCCAUUUUCUGCAUUUUUUUUUUUUUUUUUUUUUUUUUUUGAGACAGUCUUGUUCUGUCACCCAGGCUGGAGUGCAGUGGCGCCAUUUCUGCUCACUGCAAUCUCCACCUCCUGGGUUCAAGCGAUUCUCCUGCCUCAGCCUCCCGAGUAGCUGGGACUACAGGUGUGUGCCCCCACGCCUGGCUAAUUUUUUGUAUUUUUAGUAGAGAUGGGGUUUCACUGUGUUGGCCAGGAUGGUCUCGAUCUCCUGACCUCAUGAUCAGCCCACCUCAGCCUCCCAAAGUGCUGGGAUCACAGGUGUGAGCCACCGUGCCCGGCCCCAUUUUCCGCAUUUCUAAGUGUGCUGGGAAGGAGAGGGAGGUGGAGGGGGCUCCCAGCCUGCUCCAAGAGCAUAUGCUACUGUCAACAGCUCAAAGGUCAUGGCUUGUACUUCCUGGCAACACAGGGUACAUUUGUCCUUGAGAUCUAAGCUGGGAGGCUGUCCACAGUUUGUUCAUUUUGACUCUGACUGGGGUCCAGCCCCAGGGAGUUGGAAAGUAAAACUCUCAAGGCGUGACAUUUAAAUGCUUGGAAUGCUGCCAGCCAUCUGUGCAGCUUGAUUUAACUUUGGUGCUAUUAUCAAUGUCAUUAAUAAAGACCCAUUCCACCAGGGAAGCAGUGUGGUGGUGAACAGCCUGAGCUGGGUUUGAAUUCAGCCCCACCACUUACCAGUUGGGUGAUCCUAACCAGUCAAUUGACAACAGUGAUAUCUCCUCCCUAAUUUGUUCCUUUUUGUUUCUUGGAGAUGGAGUCUCACUCUGUUGCCCAGGCUGGAGUGCAGUGGCAUGAUCUUGGCUCACUGCAACUUCCGCCUCCCAGGUUCAAGUGAUUCUCCUGCCUCAGCCUUCUGAGUAGCUGGGAUUACAGGCGUGCAACAUCAUGCCCAGCUAAUUUUUUUAUUUUUAGUAGAGACAGGGUUUCACUAUGUUAGCCAGGCUGGUCUUGAACUUCCUACUUCAGGUGAUCCGCCCAUCUGGGCCUCCCAAAGUGCUGGGAUUACAGGCGUGAGCCACCGUGCCCAGCCCAUUUGUUCUUUUAACAAACAUUUGUUAAACUCAUCUGUGUGCCAGGCAGUAUCCUAGACACUAGGGUCACAGUGGUGAACAGGAUGGACAAAAUCCCUGUUCUUCCUCUACUAGGGGGAGACAGACCACAAACAAAACCCUGAGUGUGGGGCGAUACUGUAGCGUGGGGCUGUGGCUACUCAGGAGAAGGUAGCGUGUGGACUGACACAUGAAAAAGUAAGCAUGGGCCAUCAAAAGAGUUUGGUGAAAGUUCCAGCAGAGGGCACAAAGGCCCUGAGGCUGGAAAGGGACUGGUGUGUCUGUGAACCAGCAGGAAGGCCAGUGUGGCUGGGGCGGGAGAGCAGGAGAGGUGAGACGAGGGGGCGAGGAGAGCAAAUCAGAGGCCCAUGCUUGGAUUUCAUUCAGGUGCCAUGAGAUUCCACCCGAGGGGAAUGAGACCUCAUGACAUGGCUUCCGAAUGAAGAAUGGACUGAGCAUGGGUGUGUGUGGGGAACCAGGAGAGGCCCUUAGGUUCCAGCAGAGCUCAAACUACCAGCUUUCCAUUGCUAAAGAACCAGCUCAGUCUCAUGGCAUUCCAGGUUCCAAGGGCCCCCCGUCUUGCUGUAUCCCCAUAUAUGUCCCCUCUACCCAGGUAGAGCCCCUCCCGUAGCCAGCACCAUCACAGCCUUACACUGUUCAUCCACCU
rnacentral:lncRNA from 1 species